rnacentral:tRNA from 1 species
CGUUUCCUGGUGUAGUGGUUAUCACGUCCGCCUAACACGCGGAAGGUCGCAGGUUCGGGUCCUAAGGAAACAU